UUUUGAAAUUUAAUUAGGAUGAUAAUUAGUCACUGGACAUAUUCAUAGGAGGCUGCCAAUGUUCUUUCACUAAAAUAGCACAAGUUCAUUGCACUAAACAGAAAACAGGCCCUGUAUGUAUGUGACAAUUUUGAAAGACCUUAACAUAAACAGCUAUUGAAUCCAUUUUCCCAGCAAUAUCCAUUACAAAUGCUCAAUCUCAGUGAAGUAUCGCUCCUAUCAUUUUUUAUUCAUUCAUGUGAUGUGGCUGUUGUUGGUUCUGCUAGCAUUUAUUACCCAACCAUAAUUGCCCAGGAGAAAGUGGUGGGGAGCUGUCUUCUUGAAUGUUUGCUGUCCAUGGGGUAUUGGGGCACCCACAGUGCUAUUACAAACAGAAUUCCAUAUUCUUGACCCAGUGAUGGUGAAAAAGGGUGAUUUUGUUCCAAAUCACAGUGCAGUACGCGUUGAGAGAAGUUACAUUAAGUGUUAUUCCCAUUCAUCCGCUGUCUCUCUCUUUGUCAGUGUUCAAGGUCAUGAGAAGGUUGUUUUGGAGGAGCCUUGAUGAAUUACUGUAGUGCAUCUUGGAGAUGGCACGUACUUCUGCAACUAUGCAUCUGUGACGAUGGAAUGAAUGUUGAAGCUGAUGGUUGGGUGCCAAUCCAGCAGCAAAUUACAGCUCUGGAAAUCACCCAUGGACUUGCUGCAGUCUCAGCAGGUGAGCCAUAAGGUGGGACUUCUGAGUGAAUCCUUUCCCACAUUCAGAGCAGAUAAAUGGCCUCUCUCCAAUGUGAACUCACUGGUGACAGUCAGUUGAGAUGAUCAUCUGUACCCAAUCCAACAGUGAGUGCAUCUGAACAGUCUCUCAUCGUUGCGACCACUGUUCAUUUAGUAACAGUUCCGCAGAGCUUUUAAAACACUUCCCUCAGUCUGGACAUAUAAAAGGCUUCUCAUCGGAGUGAACACGUUGAUGGCGUAUCAAAUCCCAGGAUCUUGCAUAGCACUUUCCACAGUCUGUACACUUAAAAGGUCUCUCCCCAGUGUGAACUCGCUGGUGUGUCAGGAGGUGGAUUUUCUGAGUAAAUCCCUUCCCACACAUGGAGCAGGUGAACGGUCUUUCUCCGGUGUGAGUGCGCUGGUGUACAGUGAGACGAGAUGACCAUCUGAACCCUGUCCCACAGUGAGAGCACCUGAAUGGUCUAUCGUCGGUGUGAACACUUUGGUGUAACUUCAGCUCCCCAGAGCUUUUAUAACUCCUCCCACAGUCUGGACAUUUGAAAGGUCUCUCUUCAGUGUGAACUUGCUGGUGUGCCUUGAGCUGGGAUGAUGCAUGAAAUCCCUUUCCACACUCAGUGCAUGUGAAUGGCCUCUCUCCAGAAUGAACUCGCUGAUGCUUCAACAGGGUGGAGAACUGAAUGAAUACCUGCCCACAUUCAGAGCAGAUGAAUGACCUCUCCCCAGUGUGAAGACGCUGGUGUAGAGUAAGUUGGGAUGAUCUCUUGAACCCAUUUCCACAGUGAGAGCACCUGAACGGUCUCUCGUCAGUGUGAACACGGUGAUGGACGAUCAGCUCCCUGGAACCUUUAAAGCACUUCCCACACUCUGAACAUUUGAAAGGUCUCUCGUCAGUGUGAACACGUUGAUGGGACUGCAGAUAGUGUGAACUUUUAAAGUAUUUUCCACAGUCUGUACAUUUAAAAGGUCUCUCCUCAGUAUGAACCUGCUGGUGUGACUUGAGGUGGGAUGACUGAGUGAAUCCAAUUCCACAUUCAGAGCAGGUGAAUGGCCUCUCCCCGGUGUGUAUGCGCUGGUGAACAAUCAGUUGAGAUGACCACUUGAAGCCAGCCCCACAGUCAGAGCACCUGAAUCGUCUCUCCUCAGUGUGAACACGCCGAUGGGACAUCAACUCACUGGAACUUUUAUAGCAUUUCCCACACUCUGGACAUUUAAAAGGUCUCUCUUCAGUGUGAACACGCCGAUGGGACAUCAAAUCACUGGAACUUUUAUAGCACUUCUCACACUCUGGACAUUUAAAAGGUCUCUCCUCACUGUGAACUCGCUUGUGUUUCAGCAGGGUGGAUAACUGAGCGAAUCCCCUCCCACAAAGGGAGCAGAUGAAUGGCCUCUCCCCAGUGUGAACACGUUGGUGAACUUCCAGCGCAGAGCGGCAACUGAAUCCUUUCUCACAGUUCCCGCAUUUCCAUGGUAUCUCUCCAGUGUGACUGCAUUUGUGGUUCUUGAGGACAGUUGAUUGGCUGAAGCCUUUUCUGCACACAGAACAUGUGUACCUGUUCUCCCCACAGUGAAUGGUGCUUUCUUCUUCUAUGUUUAAAAUCUGUUGAUAGUCCGGUUGUGAUAAAUUGGGUGACUCCAUCA